UAAUACGGAGGGUGCUAGCGUUGUUCGGAAUUACUGGGCGUAAAGCGGGUGUAGGCGGUUUGUUAAGUCAGAUGUGAAGGCCCACGACUCAACCGUGGAAGUGCAUCUGAAACUGGCAGACUUGAGUACCGGAGAGGGAAGUGGAAUUCCUGGUGUAGGGGUGAAAUCCGUAGAUAUCAGGAGGAACACCGGUGGCGAAGGCGACUUCCUGGACGGAUACUGACGCUGAGAUCCGAAAGCGUGGGGAGCAAACAGGAUUAGAUACCCUGGUAGUCCACGCCCUAAACGAUGGGCACUAGGUGCAGGGGGUGUUGACCCCUCCUGUGCCGCAGCUAACGCAUUAAGUGCCCCGCCUGGGGAGUGCGGCCGCAAGGUUG
rnacentral:rRNA from 1 species